rnacentral:hammerhead_ribozyme from 1 species
AUCUAUCUUAUGAGUUCCAAAUAGGACGAAACGCGUCUUGUCCUGGAU